CCAAAGACUCUUUUAAGAGUCAUCAUGUUUCCUGAAAGGCGGUGG
rfam:Pan troglodytes isolate Yerkes chimp pedigree #C0471 (Clint) chromosome 1, whole genome shotgun sequence.